rnacentral:rRNA from 1 species
AAAGGCGCUUUCGGGUGUCGCUGAUGGAUGGACCCGCGGUGCAUUAGCUAGUUGGUGAGGUAACGGCUCACCAAGGCCACGAUGCAUAGCCGACCUGAGAGGGUGAUCGGCCACAUUGGGACUGAGACACGGCCCAAACUCCUACGGGAGGCAGCAGUAGGGAAUCUUCGGCAAUGGACGAAAGUCUGACCGAGCAACGCCGCGUGAGUGAAGAAGGUUUUCGGAUCGUAAAACUCUGUUGUUAGAGAAGAACAAGGAUGAGAGUAACUGUUCAUCCCUUGACGGUAUCUAACCAGAAAGCCACGGCUAACUACGUGCCAGCAGCCGCGGUAAUACGUAGGUGGCAAGCGUUGUCCGGAUUUAUUGGGCGUAAAGCGAGCGCAGGCGGUUUCUUAAGUCUGAUGUGAAAGCCCCCGGCUCAACCGGGGAGGGUCAUUGGAAACUGGGAGACUUGAGUGCAGAAGAGGAGAGUGGAAUUCCAUGUGUAGCGGUGAAAUGCGUAGAUAUAUGGAGGAACACCAGUGGCGAAGGCGGCUCUCUGGUCUGUAACUGACGCUGAGGCUCGAAAGCGUGGGGAGCAAACAGGAUUAGAUACCCUGGUAGUCCACGCCGUAAACGAUGAGUGCUAAGUGUUGG